UUUCAAAAUGAUUGUUAUCAAUGCCUGCCAAAUUCUUUAGAUCUUUUCCCUUCCUUGUCUUUACUGUAAAUACUUUCCUUAUUUUUAAGCAGCGGUAUUACUACUAUACAUAGUAACAAAAUCUCUGCGGAGAUCUGGUUUUCUUUAUCCUUUAGAUCUUGAAGAGUUCCAAGUCCCCGAUCUAUUGGUGUUUAGUUAAUUGUUCUAAUAUGCUUUUUUUUUUUUAAAGAAGCUAUAAUACCUCUUCAUAACCCUAUCUAUAAAAGAAAAAAGUAAAACAAACCCUUGAAAUAAAUACGCAUAAGGAGGCAAAAGAAGAUCAUUGACCAUGUAAAAAAAGUCUCAAUCUGAAGCUUGAGUUCAUCAUCUCAACAUCAAGAGGCAGGAAGCAUGUUUCAUCAUGGAGCCUCUGGAAUUGUGGUCCUGGGAGUGUGUAUGAUGGGCUACAGGACAAAUUUAAAUAGUAAACUUCAAAGGAAAAGAAAACAUGAAGCUAUUAUGCAACAUAUUUAGGGAUAUUUGAAGAUAGUUCCAUGCACAAGCCAUGGAACCCAUGGAAGAAUAACAGCAACAAAGAGGUAGUGCUGGAAAGUACCCCUGACGCCAUCUUGUCUAAUCCUUUCAUUUUAGAAAUGAAGAAAGUGGAUCCCCAGAGAAGGUAAGCACCUUGCCUAAGGCCACAUAAGUAGGAAAGACUGGAGGUACUGACUCUCUCUCUAGCACUUUUAUCUUGUUAGAUUAAACAGAACUGAACUACAC